GCAUAUCAAUAAGCGGAGGAAAAGAAACCAACAGGGAUUGCCCUAGUAACGGCGAGUGAAGCGGCAACAGCUCAAAUUUGAAAUCUGGCUCUCGGGCCCGAGUUGUAAUUUGUAGAGGAUGCUUUUGGUGCGGUGCCUUCCGAGUGCCCUGGAACGGGACGCCAUAGAGGGUGAGAGCCCCGUCUGGUUGGAUGCCAAUCCUCUGUAAAGCUCCUUCGACGAGUCGAGUAGUUUGGGAAUGCUGCUCUAAAUGGGAGGUAUAUGUCUUCUAAAGCUAAAUACCGGCCAGAGACCGAUAGCGCACAAGUAGAGUGAUCGAAAGAUGAAAAGCACUUUGAAAAGAGAGUUAAAAAGUACGUGAAAUUGUUGAAAGGGAAGCGUUUAUGACCAGACUUGGGCUUGGUUAAUCAUCCAGGGUUCUCCCUGGUGCACUUUUCCAGUCCAGGCCAGCAUCAGUUUGCUUCGGGGGAUAAAGGCUUCGGGAAUGUGGCUCUCUCCGGGGAGUGUUAUAGCCCGUUGCGUAAUACCCUGGGGCGGACUGAGGUACGCGCUUCUGCAAGGAUGCUGGCGUAAUGGUCAUCAACGACCCGUCUUGAAACACGGACCAAGGAGUCGUCUUCGUAUGCGAGUGUUCGGGUGUCAAACCCCUACGCGUAAUGAAAGUGAACGCAGGUGAGAGCUUCGGCGCAUCAUCGACCGAUCCUGAUGUUCUCGGAUGGAUUUGAGUAAGAGCAUACGGGGCCGGACCCGAAAGAAGGUGAACUAUGCUUGUAUAGGGUGAAGCCAGAGGAAACUCUGGUGGAGGCUCGCAGCGGUUCUGACGUGCAAAUCGAUCGUCAAAUAUGAGCAUGGGGGCGAAAGANUAAUCGAACCUUCUAGUAGCUGGUUUCCGCC
rnacentral:rRNA from 1 species